UGUAGGGCGUACUAUAUUUUGUUCCAUACGCAUUUCACUCGUCUUUGACUGUCGUAUACGAUAACAUUUUAUGACGGCGAAUGAUCAAGUUACAUUUUAACGUUAACUCGUAUAUAAAUAUAUGCAUUCUUGCGCUGUACAGAUAACAGAAUCGAUAAAAUAACGCAAAAAUAACGUAACGUUUUAAUUGUGAUCAUCGUUAAAAGUAUUGCACAACGUUUUAAAUCGA